rnacentral:sRNA from 1 species
CCCUAGCCCUGAUAGUAGUGAAAAUCCUUUAAUCCUGAACUUGUUUCAGGAUUCUGAAACAAGUUCAGGAUUAAAGAUUGAAACGGAUAGCAGGAAGCAGC